UACGAAAGGGGCUAGCGUUGUUCGGAAUCACUGGGCGUAAAGCGCACGUAGGCGGCCGUAUAAGAUGGGGGUGAAAUCCCUGGGCUCAACACAGGAACUGCCUUCAUGACUGCAUAGCUCGAGGAUGUGAGAGGUUGGCGGAAUUUCGAGUGUAGAGGUGAAAUUCGUAGAUAUGCGGAAGAACACCAGUGGCGAAGGCGGCCAACUGGCACAAUUCUGACGCUGAGGUGCGAAAGCGUGGGGAGCAAACAGG
rnacentral:rRNA from 1 species